CCUAAGGAAAACAGAAAAAACAUCUUUGAGCUUUCAAUGAAGCCAAAAAUCGAUUAAAUUUCAAUAAUUUAAAAAUAAGAUACACUAUGAUCACCAAUCAGCAUAGUCCUAAAUAAAAAUCAUUAAUAUUCUCAACCACAUAGUACCAACAUCAAAUAAAAUCCUAGUGAUAGGAGCCUCGAGAGAGAAAAACUCAUUUUUCUCUGACCUGAAACUGGAACGACCCUUCACUUUUGGGGGCCGACGGUAGGAGUACCGAGCAAGCUGGCCUGCUGAAGCUCGAGCUCGUUAAAUUGCUGUUCGCGAUCCAUCUCGAUGAUGAGAGGAACGGCGAGGAUCAAGAAGGUGGUACCGGCAAUCCAGGCGGCUUUGCCGGUGCUCUUGAGGAGCUUCUUUGCGACGAAGCCAGCGUCUGCGGCGGCGCGCUUGCCGCGAUACACGAUCGGAGAUUCAGAUAUGGUUGAUGAAACCCUAGAUAGGAUUCCUUGGUUUUUGUUGCUAGGUAGAGAGAUUCUUUUAGCCGCCAUUGCAAAAAGAGAGAAAGGAAUAGUGAAGAGUUGUCAGGGUUUUGCAAGGUUAGGAAUUGGGGUUUUAUGUAUUUGUGGUGUUAGGAAUUUAUUUGAAAUGGCAAUUAUAUCCUUGGGACGGACAAGACCCAGGCGAAAAUAAAGAAAAAAAGAAAACAUCCUAAUUUAAAAACUCAAGUAUAU
rnacentral:lncRNA from 1 species